UUCACCCAUAGCCAGACUGUUUUACACCUGCAUCGUCCAGUACCAUGGCCCCUAGUCCCGUGUGCUAUGUGCUGAAAUUGUAAAAUACGCCCCCAGAUAUUUUUGUUUUUUAAUUAGGCUCCAUGUCCAACAUGGGGCUCAAACGCAAGACCUUGACAAAAUCAAGAGUUGCAGGCUCUACCGACUGAACCAGACAGGCACCCCCACGCCAGAUUUUAAAGACUUAAAGUGGGCAAAAAUAUCACAAUAUUUUUUGUGUGUUACAGGUUGGAAUGCUAAUAUUUUCAAUGUAUUGGGUUGCAUUAAAUAUUUUGUAAAAUUAAUUUCACCUGUUUCUUCCUCUAUUUAGUGUGGCUACUGGAUAAUCUGAAAUCGUGCCUGUGGUUUGCAUUAUGUUUUAUUGGACAGCACUGACUUGAUCGUCCAGAGCCAAAUUCCAGGCUGUGGAGAUUAAGAAGAGGAGUUGACACAUUUGGUCAAAGCUGGGGGAAAUGCAGCAUAGGUUUGAGCUCAUGCUGCAAACGCCAUCAAGCUCACCCACUAUGUGCCAUGGACUGUGCUGGGUGCUAGGGACCCAGCAGUAAAGAAGACUUGGUUCCUGCCCAGAGCAGGGGAGACACACACCGAAAGGAAAAUAUAAGGCAACGGACAAAUGCUCAACCCAGGUCUCAAGCUUAUUACUCUAGGAGUUGAAAGAUGGAAGUGAGUCUUCCACUUCCUCAAUCUUAACGUGGCAUUUACAAAUGAGGGAGCCAACCAAGCACUGCAGCCCUGAUAUUUUUGGAAACAAUGGUAGAAAAUAAGUCACCUCAGCUUUUCUAAGUUGUGAAACAGAAGCUACAGAAAAGGGAACCCUCCUCGUAUUCCUGGGCCUGACACAGAUUCACAUUCUCUGAAUAAUCUCAAAAACUGCUUAUUGUAACAGACCACGCAAUUUAGAAAUUUAUUUUAAGACCUGUUACUCUCUGAUUCAUGUGCUUGAAGGCAAAUUAUAGGAGUCGUUGUAAUAAAAAUGCUUAGGCUGAUCAUAAUAAAAUAAACUAGUAUGAGUUGAGAA